rfam:Canis lupus familiaris chromosome 4, whole genome shotgun sequence.
CCGCAUUCUUAAACCCUCUUGGUAGCUUCCCUAAAAAGGCUUCCAAGAUAUGAGUGAAUGCUAUAGAAAUUGCAGGGGAGUCCAAAGGGCUGCGCUUCCCAUGUGGUUCAGUCUUAUUUCAUACCUGCGACAUCU